GAAAUGCGAUACUUGGUGUGAAUUGCAGAAUCCCGUGAACCAUCGAGUCUUUGAACGCAAGUUGCGCCCGAAGCCAUUAGGCCGAGGGCACGCCUGCCUAUCGAGA
rnacentral:misc_RNA from 1 species